rnacentral:sRNA from 1 species
GUUAGGAGCGCAGUGGCGGCGCAACCAGCCUUCUAGGGCGGCGGAGGAGUGGAGUCAACAUAUCAAUGGAGCAAGUCACAGUCGUCGAUGCCAGCUUCUUCUUGAAAUGUAGGAGUUUGAAAUACCUUUAAAACAUCCUUAUCGUGAAUCAGAAUCAGCCAUUAUUGGUUUUUGGGAGUUCAUCAUUUACUUGUAAUAUCCACAAUGUUAAUAUCACAUAGUGGUAUUGUAUGGACAAUACUAUUUACAAGUAAAAUGUUUAGAUCUGGAAAUUUCAUAUUGAAUAUUAGAUGCAGUAAUAAUGAUAUUUUGUUAGUUAACAUUUCUAGGAUACAUAUAUUGGUCAUUAUACAAAUUGGUGAUUUUUACUAGACAUAGUGAAAGAUAGUAUUUGAUAUGUAGAGUGGAUUAAACAGUAGCAUUUUUAAUAAUACAUGCUCUAAAAAUGUAAAAGAUACGGAAAAGAGGGUAGGUUAUUAAAAGAUUCUAAUUCGUUGUCCAGUAAAAUCCUUGGUGAUGAAUUUUUUUUUUUUUUUUUUUGCUUUUGAGAUCUUUGGUUUUGAGUUCAGGCUGCUACCAUGAAAUGGAAUUCCUAAAGAAACUCCCUGCUUAAGCAGCACACAGUGCUAAUUGUUCACUGGAGUUGGAAUUUUCACAUAUGCCUAACUCUGUUGGGGCUAUUCUUUCUUUCUAAUGUCACAACUCAGCUGUGCUCUUGGUAUUAAUAUUGGAGAACGAAAAUCUGUGCUCUGUUCUUGUUUCUAUGUAACCCACAUUUCUAAUUCUUUGUGCAGCACUUCCUCCUUACAAUUUAAGAAAUAGAGGAAAAACUUAAUUUCAACAUUAUCUGCAUUUGCAAGCAAUACAAAACAAGUUUAUUCUCGUGGAUUAGUUUGAAGUUCUGAAAUUUUUCUUUUGAAAUAUCUAUAGGAAAUGCUUUAAAACUAUGUUUCUAACACUUAGACUCUCAGAUAACUUUACUAAUAAAUGAUCUCUAUUUUAGAGGCCAAACAAGGCUGUUUUGUGAAAAGGACAGUUUUAUUUUAAAGUUAAUUUUCUGGUCUUUUUAAAGCUACCCAGAAUGGAAUCCUGACAAUGAUACAGGACACACAAUGUAAGUUAAAUUUUUUAAGCUACCAUUUGUAAAGGAGAUCAAUGUAAGGAAUUCAGGUUUAACUUUCAACAUUUCAUAAACAGUAUUUUCAGAAUUUCUUUACUGAAAAUGAGACUUUGAUAAAAUUCACUUUGGUUAACAAUUUUUAGAAUAUAUAUUAUGUAGUAAUUUGUAUUCUUUUAUUGUUAAUGUAGACUUUGACCUAGUUACUUCACAGAUACUCUGAAAGAUUGAAGUGGUUGUCAUAUAUUGGGGUGCUUUAACAUUAAAUCUUAAUUCUUUCCAAUGGACCUCUUUAUUAUGAUUUAUAUUUUAUGUCUUCACUUUACUAGGGGUGAUCCAUUCAUGUUGCAGCAGUCUACAAAUCCAGCACCAGGAAUUCUGGGACCUCCACCUCCCUCAUUUCAUCUUGGGGGACCAGCAGUUGGACCAAGAGGAAAUCUGGGUGCUGGAAAUGGAAACCUGCAAGGACCUAGACACAUGCAGAAAGGCAGAGUGGAAACUAGCAGAGUUGUUCACAUCAUGGAUUUUCAACGAGGGAAAAACUUGAGAUACCAGCUGUUACAGCUGGUAGAACCAUUUGGAGUCAUUUCAAAUCAUCUGAUUCUAAAUAAAAUUAAUGAGGCAUUUAUUGAAAUGGCAACCACAGAGGAUGCUCAGGCCGCAGUGGAUUAUUACACAACCACACCAGCGUUAGUAUUUGGCAAGCCAGUGAGAGUUCAUUUAUCCCAGAAGUAUAAAAGAAUAAAGAAACCUGAAGGAAAGCCAGAUCAGAAGUUUGAUCAAAAGCAAGAGCUUGGACGUGUGAUACAUCUCAGCAAUUUGCCGCAUUCUGGCUAUUCUGAUAGUGCUGUUCUCAAGCUUGCUGAGCCUUAUGGGAAAAUAAAGAAUUACAUAUUGAUGAGGAUGAAAAGUCAGGCUUUUAUUGAGAUGGAGACAAGAGAAGAUGCAAUGGCAAUGGUUGACCAUUGUUUGAAAAAAGCCCUUUGGUUUCAGGGGAGAUGUGUGAAGGUUGACCUGUCUGAGAAAUAUAAAAAACUGGUUCUGAGGAUUCCAAACAGAGGCAUUGAUUUACUGAAAAAAGAUAAAUCCCGAAAAAGAUCUUACUCUCCAGAUGGCAAAGAAUCUCCAAGUGAUAAGAAAUCCAAAACUGAUGGUUCCCAGAAGACUGAGAGUUCAACCGAAGGUAAAGAACAAGAAGAGAAGUCCGGUGAAGAUGGUGAGAAAGACACAAAGGAUGACCAGACAGAGCAGGAACCUAAUAUGCUCCUUGAAUCUGAAGAUGAGCUACUUGUAGAUGAAGAAGAAGCAGCAGCACUGCUAGAAAGUGGCAGUUCAGUGGGAGACGAGACCGAUCUUGCUAAUUUAGGUGAUGUGGCUUCUGAUGGGAAAAAGGAACCAUCAGAUAAAGCUGUGAAAAAAGAUGGAAGUGCUUCAGCAGCAGC